rnacentral:rRNA from 1 species
ACAUACGACCAUACCCACUGGAAAACUCGGGAUCCCGUCCGCUCUCCCAUAGAUAAGCCAGUGAGGGCCAGACUAGUAGUUGGGNNNN